CUGGGACUGGGCCAAACACAGCACUAGCCAAUCAGCAUCUCUUCAUAGAGAUGCAUUGAAUCAAUGCAUCUCUAUGAGAAAUGAUCAAUGUCUUGAAGGGUUUAAACUCUAAAAUAAAAACCUGAAGACACCUCGUUUUAUAAUGUACCAUUUAGUUUUUAAGCAAUAACGAUUUCAACAUGAACAACGUGAAGACAUCCAGCAUUUGUUCACAGAGUUAAACUCUGUGAAACAGCAGGAAGUGCCUCUAGUGACUGUCUGGUGGACAGCCACUAGAGGCCGUCUUCACCCCUGCAAUAUCAACAUUGGAGUGCAUGUUCUGUGUGUGUCCCUUACCAAAUACGUGUAUAUUUGUAUAUACAUAUUAGUAUUUACAUAUUAGCCAUCACAAGGCUUUGAAUGAGCACACCACCCCUCUGCACACAAAUUCUCCUUUGCUUUCAGAAACAGUAAUGUUUUACAUUGUCUGAAUAAAGGAACAGGGUUUAGGCACCAAAACGGUAUUAUGAAAUUAAGUCCUUACAAUAUUACACUUUGCUGUCGACAACGUCUGGAUUUUAAAGAGUUUAUACCAGCAUAUACUAGGUUGGCUAUUUAUUACUGUCAGCUUUACAUAGCUCUGCAGCCAUUAAAUAAUAUUGCAUGCUGACAUAGAUCAUUAUUGGUCCCUAUGGGUUCAAUCAACUCAUGGGCAAUGUAAGAGUUAGUUUAACUACAAGAAAGUAGCUCCUAAUUCUUAGAUUGUAAGCCAAUUUUGGCAGGGCCCGCUUCACCUACUAUUCCUGUAUGUCAUACCUGUUUUGUUCGAAUUAAAUGCUUGCCUUGUUUACCUAUUGUACACCGCUGCGGAAUAUGUUAGAGCUAUAUAAAUAAUUGUAAUUCACUGUAUUGUUAACCACUUAACAGGUAGGAAAAGUGAUGACAUUUUAUUAAAUACAUCAGUUUUCUUUGAAAGUGAUAUUUUAUUGCACUUGUAUUGGUAGUGUCAAUGGUUCAGUCAAGCCAGUUUUUACUAUAUUAUUUGAAAAAUAUUAUAUUUUCAUCCAACUUAAUGGUAGUCUUUUAAUCAACCUUUAGAAGAACGAAAGGCUAAGUAUCAGGAAUCAAAUCUGUGGCUCUGACAGUGCAGCUGUGUUCCUUAACCACUUGGCAAAUAGCAUUUUGGAAAAAGGUCGUAGUUGUUUACUUAAAGGGACACUCCAGGCACUCAGACCACUUCUGCCCAUUGGAGUGGUCUGGGUGCCAACUCCCACGACCCUUAACCCUGCAAGUGUAAUUAUUGCAGUUUUCAUAAACUGCAAUAUUUACAUUGCAGGGUUAAGUCCUCCUCUAGUGGCUGCCUACUAGACAGCCACUAGAGGACACUUCCCUGUUCAUAGAACACAGUGUUUUAAAACUACGCUGGACAUCCUCACGCUAUGUGAGGACCUCCAGCGUCGCCGAAAUCCCCAUAGGAAAGCAUUAUUCAAUGCUUUCCUAUGGGGAGGUCUAAUGUGUGUGUGAGGCAUUGCCGCACCUGCGCAUUAGGUCUUCUCCGCCGUCAGCCGCGCAUGCGCAAUAGGAGCGUGGGCGCUGGAUACAGGUAAGUCACUGAAGGGGUUUUAACCCCUUCAGCAACUUGGGAUGGGGGUUGGGAGGGAGAGGGGACAUGCAGUGCCAGGAAAACUGUUAGUUUUCCUGGCACUGGAGAGUCCCUUUAAUUUUAUUUAAAAAAAAAGGGAUUCGGAAAAAAUGCGAGGAAUAAAGAUAGUAAAAGAUAAAUUAAAUACGAGCAUGCAGUACACAGCUACCAACAUGUUGAGCUAAUAUAUUUUAACCAGCUGCCAAUUCAGAUAAACUUACAGGAAAAUACUCUGAAAUCCUUUAGUUCCCUUAGAGAGAAAAAAAACAGAUUCAUAUUAUUAUAAUGAUAAACACACAUAAAUGAAAAUUUUAAAUCGACAAGUGUUGCAAAAAAAAAAAAAAAGAUUUGUUAAACAUUAUGAUAAAAAUAUUCUUUCCAGAAAAUUAAACAUGAAAUAACCAAAUAUGAAUUACUAUGUUUAAUACAAAAAGUGGGUUACUUUUUUUUGUAAUGCUUAGAGCUGACAGCUGUUCAGUCUGGUCAAAGUUAGGAGGGAGAAUUAUAUAUAUGCAGCUAGAUCUCAGCAUGCCAUGCCACUAGCUUCUAAAACUUUAAGAUGCCUGUGAGGUCCAAAUGUUUUAAUACAAAAUAUAUAACAAUCUACCUCACUCAUAUUAGAAAACACACACUGUUACAUUACAUAGAACACUGCUAGCACACUCAAACAAUGGUUUGUUUAGGCAGCUCAGCACAUUCAAAAGAAAACCCCAGUCACCAUAACCACUUUAUCUCAAUGGAGUGGUUAUGGUGCCUGUAGUCCUCUGGCACCAUCUUACCUUCUAUUGUUAAUCCAUUUUCUAACGUUGCCCUGUGGUAAUGACCACAGUCCUAACAUUAGAAUGUCCCAUGUAUAAUUUACACUAUAGUAGUGGGACUGUCUAUCUUUCUCAAAAGGAAACCCAACAUGUCCAGUUAUUUCAUCAUGGUUUAAAUAUUUAUCAUAGGUUUAUUUGGUUAUUUCAUCAUAGCUUUGAAGGUGUGGAAUGUUGUCAAAUAGUUGAUGGUGACUGUACAUUAAGUGAGUGCAUGGGUCUAUGACCUAUGAUUUGACAGCCAGUGGAUGUGCAAUCUGACUGUCAAUUCUGUAGGCCACAGAUGCGUCCAUUUUGUUACCACUGAGAACUGAACAUAAAAAAUGGGAAUCUGAAGAUGGAUACCUAAAAUCUAGCUGUUAAGUUGAAUUAAGGAGUUAUUGUCAAACUAUGUUAUAUUUGUAUUUUCUUUCUAUUAAACCAAUCAUUAUUAAAGCAAGAA